rnacentral:misc_RNA from 1 species
AUCAAAACUCAAAUUGCAAACAAUCUCAUUAAGCAAGUUAAUGCUCACAACCUGCAUCUCAAAUCUGAACCUGAAGAAAAUUUAAGAAAAAAAAUUGCUAGCACACAAUAAUAGAUAAAUUCAGAAUUUUAAAUCCAACAAAUGGAAAAUCCUAGAAAAGAAAGCCCAAAUUUGUAUCCCAAAUCUCCCUAGGCUAUGGCUAUUGUGGCAUCCCAAAGCAAGUUAAUGCUCACAACUUGCAUCUCAAAUCUGAACCUAAAGAAAAUUUAAGAAAAAAAAA